GACGAACGCUGGCGGCGUGCUUAACACAUGCAAGUCGAACGGUAAGGCCCUUCGGGGUACACGAGUGGCGAACGGGUGAGUAACACGUGGGUGAUCUGCCCUGCACUUCGGGAUAAGCCUGGGAAACUGGGUCUAAUACCGGAUAGGACUCCGGACUGCAUGGUCUGGGGUGGAAAGCUUUUGCGGUGUGGGAUGGGCCCGCGGCCUAUCAGCUUGUUGGUGGGGUGCUGGCCUACCAAGGCGACGACGGGUAGCCGGCCUGAGAGGGUGACCGGCCACUCUGGGACUGGGAUACGGCCCAGAGUCCUACGGGAUGCAGCAGUAGGGAAUAUUGCGCAAUGGGUGCAAGCCUGAUGCAGCGACGCCGCGUGAGGGAUGACGGCCUUCGGGUUGUAAACCUCUUUCAGCAUCGACGAAGCGAAAGUGACGGUAGGUGCAGAAGAAGGACCGGCCAACUACGUGCCAGCCGCCGCGGUAA
rnacentral:rRNA from 1 species